UAGAGUUUGAUCAUGGCUCAGAACGAACGCUGGCGGCAGGCUUAACACAUGCAAGUCGAACGCUCGUGAGCGAUCACGGGAGUGGCAGACGGGUGAGUAACGCGUGGGAACAUACCCUCCGGUUCGGAAUAACUCAGGGAAACUUGAGCUAAUACCGGAUACGGCUUAGCGGCGAAAGAUUUUAUCGCCGGAGGAUUGGCCCGCGUUCGAUUAGCUAGUUGGUGAGGUAACGGCUCACCAAGGCGACGAUCGAUAGCUGGUCUGAGAGGAUGAUCAGCCACAUUGGGACUGAGACACGGCCCAAACUCCUACGGGAGGCAGCAGUGGGGAAUAUUGGACAAUGGGCGCAAGCCUGAUCCAGCCAUGCCGCGUGAGUGAUGACGGCCUUAGGGUUGUAAAGCUCUUUCGCUCGGGACGAUAAUGACGGUACCGAGAUAAGAAGCCCCGGCUAACUUCGUGCCAGCCGCCGCG
rnacentral:rRNA from 1 species